ACCCUGAUAGCUUAAAUAUUAGAGCACUACAUUGAAGCUGUAGUUGUGGUAGAAAUUGCCUCUGGGUG
rnacentral:tRNA from 1 species